AAGAGGACGAAGAAGUGAGAUGGUGUCAUCCCACCAAACAAGUGAGAGUGUGUCAAUAUAGGUCUAUACUUUCAAUUGUUUGAUGAGGUGAAAUCAUUCUAAUAAUUGACGUUUUCUG